rnacentral:rRNA from 1 species
CCCUUAGAUGUUCGGGGCCGCACGCGCGCUACACUGAUGCAUUCAACGAGUCUAAAACCUGGUCUGAGAGGGCUGGGUAAUCUUUUGAAAGUGCAUCGUGAUUGGGAUAGAUGAUUGCAAUUCUUCAUCUUCAACGAGGAAUGCCUAGUAAACGCAAGUCAUCAGCUUGCAUUGAUUACGUCCCUGCCCUUUGUACACACCGCCCGUCGCUCCUACCGAUUGAACGAUCCGAUGAAAACUGUGGAUUGAGAGUCUGAGUGGGUUCGCCUACCUCAACUUUCGAGAAGCGGUUUAAAUCUUAUCGUUUAGAGGAAGGAGAAGUCGUAACA